GCUCAAUAUGUUCUCAGUACGUAUUACUUUGUGCAGCAAUACCUUCGCGUGUUACUUUAACCCUGGCUCUCUCCUUCGGAAUUUCAGUUCCCGAGAGGGAUACUGAUUGAACCAGGAUACGAUGUUUCACGUAAGGAAAAAAUUAUAUAUAUAUAUAUACGACACGAAUGAAUUAACCUUAACUGCGCUACUUCGCAGAUGGAGAGCACCACAGUUUACCUCUUGAAAAAAUCUUCUUCGUCCUCAAAAUUGAAGACUGACACUCUGAAGGAAAUGCGCGACUAAUACAAUGUCGGAGAAAAUCGUUUCAGAGGAAAUCGAAACGACAAACAACAAAAACAACUAACAGUGUACCACAGGUUGUGUGCAGAGUAUGGAUCCAACGAAAUCAGGCAAGAUCGGGAGAAAGAAUUAAUACCUGAGCCUCGAGCAAGAGUCCACUCUCCGCGAAACACAGAGAGAGGCACACAAAACUCAAGGUCACAGCUGCGAACAGACACCCGAGGUGACGAACGACGGCUGUGAAUACAGAACCCGAAAACAGCAGACAGAAGAAGAAGAAGAAUGGAGGACAAAGCAUGGAGCGCAGGGGGUUAAGAAGGGGGAAGCUCAGAGAGAGCAGGAUUGCUGCAAAUCCAGCCUCAACGGCAAAAACCAGGAAAUGCCAUCAGAACAAUGGGAAAUCGUUCCUCUGUCCAGCUCUGUCUCGUCGUAAGCUGUCUGCGUGACUUCCCGGCGGCUCCUGCGGAACUACCCCGAUGAGGAUGAAUUUCUGGAACAUUCGUUCAUCCACGGGCAGACCGGAACCCUUUCGGGCUGGGCAGCCUUGAAUAUUUUAUGGGUUGGGCAAAAGCAGAAAGUUAAAAAGUAAAAAGUAAAAAGUUUUGUGUGCUUGUUGCAGUGCUGAAAGAAUGUCAAGUGUGGGUCACAAGGGUGAGGUGAUGCAAGAGGGCAUUUUGUCCACAUGAGAAAAAAUGUUCUCAUGUGGGCAAAGGUAAGAGUUUAUGAAGAAGUAAAGCGAUAUGGCAAAAUUGACCAAUGUAUUAGAGUUUGAAUUUGCUGCCACUUUUGCCUUUGUGGCCAUCUUAUCAAUUAUAUCUAAUAUUUAUAGUGUUUGA